rnacentral:rRNA from 1 species
GAUGAACGCUGGCGGCGUGCCUAAUACAUGCAAGUCGAGCGAACGGACGAGAAGCUUGCUUCUCUGAUGUUAGCGGCGGACGGGUGAGUAACACGUGGAUAGCCUACCUAUAAGACUGGGAUAACUUCGGGAAACCGGAGCUAAUACCGGAUAAUAUUUUGAACCGCAUGGUUCAAAAGUGAAAGACGGUCUUGCUGUCACUUAUAGAUGGAUCCGCGCUGCAUUAGCUAGUUGGUAAGGUAACGGCUUACCAAGGCAACGAUGCAUAGCCGACCUGAGAGGGUGAUCGGCCACACUGGAACUGAGACACGGUCCAGACUCCUACGGGAGGCAGCAGUAGGGAAUCUUCCGCAAUGGGCGAAAGCCUGACGGAGCAACGCCGCGUGAGUGAUGAAGGUCUUCGGAUCGUAAAACUCUGUUAUUAGGGAAGAACAUAUGUGUAAGUAACUGUGCACAUCUUGACGGUACCUAAUCAGAAAGCCACGGCUAACUACGU